UGCCCCAGUAACGGCGAGUGAAGCGGCAACAGCUCAAAUUUGAAAUCUGGCCCUCGGGUCCGAGUUGUAAUUUGAAGAGGAUGCUUUUGGUGCGGUGCCUUCCGAGUUCCCUGGAACGGGACGCCAUAGAGGGUGAGAGCCCCGUCUGGUUGGAUGGGAACCUCUGUAAAGCUCCUUCSACGAGUCGAGUAGUUUGGGAAUGCUGCUCACAAGGGGAGGUGUCUGUCUUCUAAAGCUAAAUAUUGACCAGAGACCGAUAGCGCACAAGUAGAGUGAUCGAAAGAUGAAAAGCACUUUGGAAAGAGAGUUCACCAGGAAAAGAAGUUGUAAUAGGGGAAGCGCUUGUAAUCAGGCUUGCUCGCAGGACCUCACCUGGGCCUGGGUCUUGUGCCCUCUCCUAYAUACAGGCCAGCAUCCGUUCCGAUGGUAGGAUAAAGACAGCGGGAAUGUAGCUUCUUUUCUUUGGGAUUGAAGUGUUAUAGCCUGUUGUGUCAUACUAACAAUCUGGACAGAGGAACACACUCUAUUGG
rnacentral:rRNA from 1 species